rnacentral:rRNA from 1 species
GACGAACGCUGGCGGCGUGCUUAACACAUGCAAGUCGAGCGGAGCGGCGAACGGGUGAGUAACGCGUGAGUAACUGCCCCCCUCUCUGGGAUAACAGUUGGAAACGGCUGCUAAUACCGGAUAGUGGGGGAUGACUCGCGCCCUAUCAGCUUGUUGGUGGGGUUGUGGCCUACCAAGGCGACGACGGGUAGCCGGCCUGAGAGGGCGACGGGCCACAUUGGGCUGUGAUAGGGCCCAAGCUCCUACGGGAGGCAGCAGUGGGGAAGAUGGCGCAAGGGGGGAAACCCUGUUGCAGCAACGCCGCGGGCGGGAUGACGGCUUUCGGGUGGUAAACCGCUUACAGCCAUGACGCGUGACUGGCAGAAGAAGCACCGGCUAAGUACGUGCCAGCAGCCGCGGUAAUUC